CCUACGGGUGGCUGCAGUGGGGAAUAUUGCACAAUGGGCGAAACCCUGAUGCAGCGACGCCGCGUGAGUGAAGAAGUCCUUCGUUAUGUAAAGCUCUAUCAGCAGGGAAGAAAAUGACGGUACUUGAGUAAGAAGCCCCGGCUAACUACGUGCCAGCAGCCGCGGUCAUACGGAGGGGGGAAGCGUUAUCCGGAUUUACUGGGGGGAAAGGGAGCGUAGACGGCAGUGCAAGUCUGGAGUGAAAGGCGGCGGCUCAACCCCGGAACUGCUCUGGAAACUGUACGGCUGGAGUGCUGGAGAGGCAGGUGGAAUUCCUAGUGUAGCGGUGAAAUGCGUAGAUAUUAGGAGGAACACCAGUGGCGAAGGCGGCUUGCUGGACAGUAACUGACGUUGAGGCUCGAAAGCGUGGGGAGCAAACAGGAUUAGAUACCCCUGUAGUC
rnacentral:rRNA from 1 species